UACAGAGGUCUCGAGCGUUAGGCGGAAUCACUGGGCUUAAAGCGUGUGUAGGCGGAUCGUUAAGUGCCUUGUGAAAUCCCACGGCUCAAUCGUGGAACUGCUUGGCAUACUGGCGGUCUUGAGCAACCUAGGGGCGAGCGGAACAAAUGGUGGAGCGGUGAAAUGCGUAGAUAUCAUUUGGAACGCCAAUGGUGAAAACAGCUCGCUGGGGGUUUGCUGACGCUGAGACACGAAAGCCAGGGGAGCAAACGGG
rnacentral:rRNA from 1 species